UACGGAGGGGGCUAGCGUUGUUCGGAAUUACUGGGCGUAAAGAGCGCGCAGGCGGUCGAAUAAGUCGAAUGUGAAAGCCCCCGGCUUAACUGGGGAGGGUCAUUCGAUACUGCUCGACUUGAAGGCAGGAGAGGGUAGUGGUAUUCCGAGUGUAGAGGUGAAAUUCGUAGAUAUUCGGAAGAACACCAGUGGCGAAGGCGACUUACUGGACACAUAUUGACGCUGAGGUGCGAAAGCGUGGGGAGCAAACAGG
rnacentral:rRNA from 1 species